ensembl:lncRNA
AUUACUCUGCCCCUUAGAACCCUACACAAGAGGAUACCUUGAGUAGGAUUUUUAGGUGUUACAUGUGGUGGCAGGCAGACCCAGGACCCCUUAUCUCCCUUCUCCUUCUCCUUCUCUUUUCAAAACUGCCACCAGAGCCAGAAAUGCCCAGAGGAAGCUGUGGAUGGCUUGGAACCUCUGGGAAUGAGCAGAUGAAUCCUACAGAUGAAGAAUUCCCUAUCCAGGGGAGUCUUGGAAUGAGCCCUAUUUGUCAAAAUUCUCCAAGCCAGGCUUCAGCAAUAUGUGAACCGUGAACUCCCAGAUGUUCAAUCUGGUUUUAGAAAAGGCAGAGGAACCAGAGAUCAAAUUGCCAACAUCCUCUGGAUCAUGGAAAAAGCAAGAGAGUUCCAGAAAGACAUCUAUUUCUGCUUUAUUGACAAUGCCAAAGCCUUUGACUGUGUGGAUCACAGGAAACUGUGG